CUACGGAGGGUCCGAGCGUUAUCCGGAAUCAUUGGGUUUAAAGGGUCCGUAGGCGGGAAUCUAAGUCAGUGGUGAAAUCUUGCAGCUCAACUGUAAAAUUGCCAUUGAUACUGGAUUUCUUGAAUUAGUGUGAAGUGGUUAGAAUGUGUAGUGUAGCGGUGAAAUGCAUAGAUAUUACACAGAAUACCAAUUGCGAAGGCAGAUCACUAGCACUAUAUUGACGCUGAGGGACGAAAGCGUGGGGAGCGAACAGGAUUAGAAACCCGAGUAGUCC
rnacentral:rRNA from 1 species